rnacentral:lncRNA from 1 species
UUCGGGGUUUUCUGCUCUUGGGUGUGAUCGUGUGGAACAUGUUUAACGUGUUUGUCAGCUUGAAUGCUGUGGGAAGUGAGCCCCGGCUUGCCACCUCAAAGACACUACUCCAGCAGCUCGACGGGAUCUCGUUCUUGGUGACUACAACUUCAACAGUUCAAGUCACUCCAUCUUGGAUUAUCUUCUUUGCAGCGUGCUCGUUUGCAAUCUUUGUGCUUGCCACAGUACCUUUCGGUGUGUACGUUCGCAUGCGCUACGUGGAAAGAAAAGAAGAGGUAACUGUACCAGCUUAAAUAUAUAAUUAAUAUGUAUUCUUUGAUGAGUGCCACAAAAUUUGGAUAUAGAUAGAGCUCAAGAAAAAGAGAAACUGAUUAAAAUGAAAGUAAGUAAAAAGUGUCAACCCACUCAAUUUCAUGCUGUGUAGAGUAUCUCUCAUGUGUUACAUACUUUUGGUAUCUGGAAUGUGUAUAGUUUUUGCUUUUCUAAGGCAUACAGCUUGCUUUCAUUAAGCAGUCUUUAUCUAUUGUAUUUGAAAGCAACGGUUCCAAGCAUCCGGGCUACUGUCUUUGGAAUAGAAGUUACUUACAGCCAGCUCUCGUGCUUGAUUGCAUUCGCCGCGCCUUUUUUCUUCCUCGUACAAGUAGGCCGUGGCAUUGCCAUAGCUUCUAUGCUAUGCUGCUCAAUGUUCUCUUCUAACCAUAUAUGAUAACUCUUGUUGCAUGAAUGUGGAUUUAAGAGAAUUUCUAAGCCCACCACGGGGUGUUUUUGAAGAUUCCCGACCAUGGCAUGGAGCACACUGGUGGAGUGAAGUUUUGUCUCCUCCUGGUGCCUGAGGCGCAUCGAAUAACAAUAAUUUACUAUCAUAGCGCAGGUGUUCAGUCGUAGCGUGAAUCGCCAGAAAAUCUCAUGACCCUCAACAGCAGAGCUCAAGAGAAAUAGAAACUGACUAGAUAUACUCCUACGAAUUUUGCGGCAUCCAGCGGCUUGAGACUAUGAGCACAAAAAGACCAGCCCCACAUAAUGUGUGUGGUUUACGAAUUAUAUCCAGGGAUGAUUGCGUCUUUCAACGCAGCAAUAGCACAUUACUUCAGUAUCGUGAUCUAUGAUCAAUUUUUUAUCCAAGAGGGCAAAAGAGAAUAAGUCUUUUAUAAAACUAGUAGUGUAGAAUGCCGUUCUAAUGAGUGCUCUCAAGAGAACAGCCAGCCACGCCAUUGAAGACUUCGCAACCGUGAUUCGCCACUGUGCCAAAUCCAAGGACUUGGCAAAGGGUCGCUGGAUACACAGCCAGAUCAUUUCAGAUCAAAAGGAAUACAGAGAGAACAUUUUCCUGGCAAAUCUAAAAAUGCGGAAUGCAAUUGCAUGGACAUCAAUGCUUGCUGGAUAUGCAAAAAUCGGAGGUAUCUUAGCCUCUCGAGGAUUCUUUCGAAAGAUGCCCCAGCAUGACACUAUAUCAGCUACUGCAAUGGUUUCGGCAUUUGCCGCGAGGGGCAAUGCGCCUUGUUCGAGAAUAUGCCGGAGAGGAACGUCUUCUCAUGGACGGCAUUGCUCCAGGGAUAUGCCGAGAAUCGUCUUCUAGACAAGGCAAAGAGCUACUUUGACAAGAUGCCAGCAUGGACUGUGCUCGUCGUUUCAUAUGCUCAAUCCGAGUGGCUUGAGAUUGCACAAGACUUGUUUGUGGAGAUGCCCGAGCGGAGCAUAGUGACUUGGAAUGCCUUGUCGGCAGUGAUUGGGCAUGCCAAGUCUUUGGAGGAGGUGAAGCUUUUCCUUGUCACUAUGCCCGCAUGGAACUUGGUGACCAAAAACACAAUCUCUAUGAUUAAGAAAGUUAAACAAAGUGAAUCCACUAGUUGACUUGGCUAAUGCUUCUGUCAUGAGCUUGCUGGAAGUCAUCGUUGGUGGAUCGAACCACAGCUAUGCAAGACUCUAUUGCAGAAGGGAAAGACCAUGGAAAUGAAGAGCGAGAACAACUACAACUUCAAUGUUAUACCAGGAUCUCUUCCCGCGGUCUAAGAACAUUGACUUGUUUCCGGAGAACGAGCAACCGCUGCUUUGGUGGUGUUAUUGCAAGAUGAACUGCUUCAGACUUCUUGUACGCUGUGCACAGGCUGAGGCCGAACUAUUUGCUGCUUCCUGCGAACGCUCUCAAAUUUGCACGACAAUCUCCUUGAAAUUCAGGUCAAUUCUCUCUAAUCUCAACAACCAACUCGAGUCACUUAUACAGAUGAUAGAAAGCCUCAAGAUGAUCACUCUCUCGUAUCUACUGUCAAAGAAAUCCCAGCUUGGGACACACAGGGAAUUCUAACUCCUAAGGAGCACCAGCCUGCCUCACGAAUUCUCAAAAACUAGCUUAUAUACUACCUACGCUGUCAUUCCGUGAUCCUCUUGGGUCACAACUGCAGACGCCCGAUAGCAAAUUCCUCCAGGCAUCAUUAGAAAAUCCUCUGCGCCACCUUGCCACCUGACCUUGGGCGGCACAAGCUUUAAGAGCAGACGCAUAGGUUUGUAAAGAAGGGAGAGCACUUCGGCAGAGAGAUCAAGGAUUACUAUUAGGAUUGUCAUGAGGGAGUUGCAAGCAGUUUGAUCGUGAAAGGUCACCAAAGUUGUGGGACUUCCAUUGUUUAAGAUGGGAGUGUUUGUGCUCGUGGGUGUGACGUGUUCAUAAAGCUUGUGAGCCUCGCCUUGCCACUUCAGAAACACUUCUCCAGCAGCUCAAUGGGAUCUCGUUUCUAGCGACUACAACCUCAACAUUGCAAUCUAAUUUGAAUUUUUCAGUUACUUUUGGUGUGUACAUUCGCAUGAAAUAACUGAAGAACUGUGCUUCCAAGCGAAAUUCAAGGUUAAAAUGAGAGGGGUACACUGCAGCACGAAAAGCAAAGAUCCAAAUGCUACACAACUGUGCCAAAUCCUUUUUUCCUUUUUUAAAGUAUCAACUUUAAACUUUAUUCUUCUUUCUUUUCAUAUUCACUUUAGUCAGGCUUUCUUUUCAUAAAGCAAAAUUCACAUUCGGUUUUGAAGACACCCCCUUAUUGAUAGUCUUAUAUUUCACCUCUGAAAUUAAGUAUGAUAUAUCUAAGAUGUGGUGUACCAUAGAAACUCAAAGCAAUAGUCCAAAUACCAUAAACAUUUCAAAGCGUGUAAAAUGUGAGAGAACCAUAUUCAUAAUUUACGACACUAGGUGGACCUCCCAAGCGAUUGGAAUAGAAGCAGCCACAUUUCCACCAAAAUGCAUGAAAACUCGAAUCCAUUCAUUAACUAUUUACAUGCUAGCAUGCGCUAAAGAUCUGGCCCACCAGAAGCAUUAGAAAGCCGAGUCAACUUGUGGUUACACGUUGCUUGGCUUCAUUGAGUCGGCCUGGAGAACAUUAAAGAGAAACAAAACAAGAAAAUGGGACUUACGAGCAUGCAAACAAGCACAAUGCAAGGCUUUUCAUGAGCAGGGCAGAAUGGGUGCGAGGCGACACGCGAAGAACAGCCAUUGGCGUGGAUCUGGGCGACGAUGCUCUCUCUUGGGGGCUGUGGAGUCGGGAAAUUCAGAGCCCUCAGCAAGAUAAUGCUGAGAAUCGUCUUCUAGACACAAAACGCUACUUUGACAAGAUGGAAUCUUGGACUGUGCUCGAUGCUCAAUGUGAGCGGCUUGAAGUCGGACGAGGCUUGUUUGCUGAGAUGCUAAGUGAGUAUAGCGACUUGGAAUGCCUUGUUGACAGCGUAGGGCAUACCAAAGAAGACUGGCAUUUUCUCAAACAAGGCUGCCCCUUGCAGUUGCCGAUAUAGUGUCAUGCCGAGUCUUGCAAGCGUUGAUGUCCAUGCGAUUGCAUUUCGAGGUAACAUGGAAUCAACAUAUGCUUUACGCUGGACAUACGCAUAUGCUGUUGUCCACAACAAGGGUUAGCAUCAAGGAGAAUCUUGCAUAUGAACCAAUCCAUGCAACAGUAUCUGGCAUCUCGGCCAAGAUAAGUUUGGCAUCUUCCAGAUGCCUAUUUUGGGCAUAUGUGGUCACCAUUGUAGACCACAAUAAAACGCUCUUGGCUCGCUUGGCAUCACUUGUAAUACCACAUUUUCCAUAGAUCUGGACGAGAAGAUUUUCCAGGAAAACAUUUUCCUUUCGAUCUGAAAGGAUCUGGCUGUGUAUCUUUUUUGCGUCAAUGGCGUUGCUGGCAGCUCUCCCUCGAGCACUCUUUAGGACAGCAUUCUAGAACACUACUAAAGCCUUUGAGCAUUCUCUUUUGCUCCAAUCUCGCUACCUCAUCUUUCAUCCCCUUGGAGAGACAGACAUAAAGCCCCGAAUCCUCAUGAACUUUACAAGAGCCGACCACGCAGGGAAAUCCGUCUUAAAUGGCAUGCUAACGAUCAGAUCCAGAACCUCCCGGAGCUCCCUGGCGCGACACAAGAGAUCAACUCUGCCAUGUAAGUGCCAAUCCACAGUCUUGCAUUGCGAGAAACAAUUCCCUCGAUUCCUCGAAAAACCCACCCUACCAAAGAGCGCCUGGCCGGAGAAGCUUCACACUGGAGCAUUUCCCUCAAGAGCUCCAGAGCAUCGGGCAUAUGCCCAAACUGGGCAUAUGCUCCAAUCAUUGCAUUCCACACGCAUCGACAUAUACCCAGAGGGUGCUUAUGGACACGGCCAAGGAGGUGUUCAAGCUGGCGAAGGAUCCUGCUGUGGACGUCUGGGGGCCCAUGAUGGGAUCUUGAGACAGCCAAGGCGAUGGUGCACAGGAUGAAAAACCCGAGGCACGCCAUUGUUCGACAUCAAGGCUGGAGAAAUCAGCGAUGCACAGGACGUCUUCAACAGGAUGAUGAUUACCUCGAUCAGGCACUAUUCUCUGAGGCAAGGCGCAUCUUCAAGGUCAUGCCCAACACAGUCGCGUGGAACGCGAUCAUCCCCACUCAUGGAGAGAUGAGGAGGUGAGAAUUCUGUUCGAAGGGAUGGGAGCGCAGCGAAACUUGGAGUCGUGGAAUGGACGUGACGACUUGGAAUAUUGUAAUCACGUGAAAGCUGAUGGCACUCUUGAUAAGCUUGUCACUAAGGUAUUUGCAGUUUGCAUGAUUUUGUUUUGUAGAUAGUCCUCUUUAUUGCGGAAGUUUGUCGAGCUCUAUUUGAGGCUUUAUCCAAGGUCUUUUCCUCGGCAAGAAUGUAGUGGUAGUGUAGACCGAGAAGACGUCCUCGGCGGCUUGGAGGUGCCCGGCUGGGCGUAAGCAGAGAUGAUGAUCUCGAGAGAGCAGCCAGCCACCCCAUUGAAGACUUCGCAUACUGUGAUUCGUCACUGUGCCAAAUCGAAGGACUUGGAUCAUUUCAGAUGGCAUGCAAAGUCUUUGGAGGAGGCGAAGCUGUUCCUUGUCACCAUGCCACUUGGACCACGUAAAUGAAGAGCGAGAACAACUACAUCUUCGAUGUUACCAAUAUCGGUCUAAGCAAGAACAUUGACUUGUUUGCGGAGAAUGAGGAGCCCCAUUUAUCACGACGAUGAACUGCUUCAGACUUCUCAACACUCAGAUGAGGCCGAAUUAUUUGCUGCUUCCUACGAACGUCUCAAAUGUGCAGAACAAUCACCAUGAACUUCAUCCAAGGACGAAGAGGUGUGACAAUCCUUGUGCUUGUACUCAACAGGUUUCCUUCCCUUGUCGUUUCGAUGCUUGCCAUCACGCUGGAGCCAUCACGCUGGAGCCAUCACGCUGGGUGUGUUUCUACUACGAGAAAAGGUCUAACAUCUCAUUUAUGCUUUCGCAAUUACGAUGUAUUCACGUUUAACUGAAUCCACUGUGCUCCGGAGCUAGUUCCUAAAUCUUGAAACUGUAAAGCUGUAAUUAUCGUAAGGUGGCGGGAAAAGAAAAAGCUUGGUAUGUUUCUCACUCGCAGUUUAUUGCCUGGAAGCAUUUCAACUUCAAGAGUUGCCUGAGAUCAGGCACCUGAGACUGUGGACUGUUCUUAUCACCAUUGCCUGUUGCCUGUUGUUCCCUGGAGUUGAUACUCCUUAGGCUCUUCACGAGGUAACGGCUUUCGAUGUUGGCUACCUUGUCCAUGGCCAUGAAUCUCUGUUGCUGCUAGACGACCGCUCUUCCAGACUCAAGAUACUUCCCUCCAGGAAGUAAAGAAAGCAAACAAAAUGUCCAGGGCUAAAUCCGAGUAAGAAGCAAAGUAUCGCCUUCUUGGUUUCGUCUGUGUCCAUAGUACGAGCACCCAAAGAGCCUGAGAAGACAUUCACAUACCACACUGCCCUUUCUCUGCAUGGUUUCGCGAAAGUCCAAUUGGUUGAGUAAACAAACACAUAAGGCCGGUCGUCAUUGCAGUGAAGGCGAAGAGCUUCUCUUUACGUUCCAGCGGCCUGGAGCAGGCCCGAGGUCCAGAGCUACUCUUCUUCUCUCGUUCAUUGGCUUGCACAGUUUUUAUGGAGAGUGUUCUGUUUCUUUCAUUUCUUCUCCUUUUUUUUUCUCCCAGUUAAGUAAGCAGCAGCUCCUACAGCUUACCGGGGAGAUCGAGAUCUCGUGCUGGGUUUUUGUUUUACAGGUAAGUUUGCGAGCUCUGGAGAAUUCGCACCCAAAAAAUGGCUGUCCAAGUUUCUAACAUCCAAUACGCCUCUGAAGCAUCCGUUGAUCCACACCAGAAAUGAUAAUCUUUACUCGAAGCGAAGUUCCCACUCGCCAGAUCCUUGUAUGUAUACUUUUGAGCCAAGCCUUGCAGUGCCUGUCAAGCCUGUGCUUCCAGAUCAUCAGCACGACCAAGCCAAGCGAAUGCUCUGCGACCACCCCGACGAGAGUGGAGAGACAUGGCCCUGUCCAGACACCGGAGGUUCAGCAGCGUUGUCAGGUUGAUGUUGCUGCUGCUUUGCUGCUCGUGUGAGGCUAAACUCCCGCAGGCCACCCGCGGAUAUGACUUGCAGUCAAUCUCGUCGAAAAGCCUGUCCAUUUCCUGUACGGAUUUAUCGGCACUUGAAAUAAGGCAUGGCUCUUCCUUCGUUGAUAUCUUGAGCCUUCGGCUAUUGUAUCCAGGCCUUGAUCCUAGACAAUAGAAAAGACGAAAAGAAAAAGUGUAAGUCACCUUUACCUGUCUAGCUGAGAAGUAAAAGCUGAGGCCAGCUGAUCCAGCUAUGCUCACAAUCGCGAUAAGAAGAAGCUGACAAAAAGUACCUGGGGGAAAAGCAAUGCUAAUGAGUUCCUUGUCACCAUUGACAAACUGGGAUAGCUGAAACCUGGAGUAUCAGCGAGCAUAGCCCCCCUAAAAUGGCAGAUGCAAGAGAAACGUGCCGCAUCGUGUGUCUUCCGGAUCCAGUCCGUUACGACACCCGAAUGACUUCAUCGUCGACUUCGUCUAGUGCCUGUCCACGCGACAAUUGAAGUUAGUUUCAGACGAAAUUCGAAGGUAUACAGACCUGGAUGUCAUCUGGUGGAAGGCAAGAUUUUCCACGUAGAAAGUUGAUCAAGCUCGAUUUUCCCACUCCAUUUGGACAAAAACAACUGAUGUUUUAUCUUCAUGAAGCCCCAUACCAGUCUCUACACUGCAUAUGUAUGGUUUAUAUCCCGACUCCAUCAGCUGCUUCUCCCAGCUAUCUUUCAUCUGAAAACUAAAAAUGAUCCUUCUAUCAGCUUUGCAAAAGAAAAUAAAACGGGUACCUCCUGAGUAACAAGAUCCGCCUUACUGAGCACCACUGCUAGAGGUAUUCCAGUAGACUCGCCUUUGACUAAGAACCUAUUCAUUAUCACAGGAUCCAAGCGCGGCCUAUCCAGCACCAGUAGCAAAUCAACAUUAGCCACUGGUGGAUCCGAAGUGUCCCAUCGUCUCUGUAGAACAUCUUCAAUCAUCUCGCGUUUGUCUGUCUAAUCGAUUCCCGAGACUAAAACACUAUCACCAACCAUGACUCUUCUCCUGAUCUUUUGGAGAAAUGCUCUCACCACGCAAAGAAGCUUAAUCCCUGCUCUAAAGCCCUCUUCUUGCAAGCUCAUCGAGCGCUCCAGCUCGUUCACCACGACAGUCAUGAAAUUCACCUGCGCCGACGUGACCUGACCGACUGCUCGAUCCUCGGCUAGAAGAUUGUCGAAUCGCCUCACAUCCGUUACAUCACGCAGCUGCUUCCCCCUCAUCGGCAGCCGCGUAACCUAGACCUAGAACACAUGGCCAAAAUUCUCUUUUUGGCGCCAAAAUCGGGUUUGGUCCCCUGGUUCUUGGGAGGGAAAAAUGGACAAUCGGCACAGCACGUAGAAGCUCCGGAUGUGCUGCUGCCACCGGGUUGCCACCUCAAAGACACUACUCCAGCAGCUAAGAGAUCUCGUUCUUGGUGACUACAACUUCAACAGUUCAAGUCACUCCAUCUUGGAUUAUCUUCUUUGCAGCGUGCUCGUUUGCAAUCUUUGUGUUUGCCACAGCAACUUUCGGUGUGUACGUUCGCAUGCGCUACGUGGAAAGAAAAGAAGAGGUAACUGUACCAGCUUAAAUCAUGCAUGUUUAUAUAAUUAAUAUGUAUGCCAGAAAAUUUGGAUAUAGAUAGAGCUCAAGAAAAGGCACCCCACUCAAUUUCAUGCUAUGUAGAGUAUCUCUCAUUUCCUACAUGCUUUUGGUAUCUGGAAUGUGUAUAGCUUUUGCUUUUCUAAGGCAUACAGCUUGCUUUCAUGAAGCAGUCUUUAUCUAUUGUAUUUGAAAGAAACAGUUCUUUGGAAUAGAAGUUACUUACAGCCAGCUCUCGUGCUUGAUUGCAUUGCCAUAGCUUCUAUGCUAUGCUUCUCAAUGUUUUCUUCUAACCAUAUAUGAUAAAGUAAACGCUUUCCAAGUGCUUUUUUAAGUUCCCUCUUGUUGCAUGAAUGUGGAUUUAAGAGAAUUUCUGAACCCACCACCGGGUGUUUUUGAAGAUUCCCGACCAUGACAUGGAGCACACUGGUGGAGUGAAGUUUUGUCUCCUGGUGCCUGAGGCGCUUUAACGACCUCUUAUAUCGAAUAACAAUAAUUUACUAUCAUAGCGCAGGUGUUCAGUUGAAGCGCGAAUCGCCAGAAAAUCUCAUGACCCUCUACAGCAGAGCUCAAGAGAAAUAGAAACUGACUAGAGCCACUCCUACGAAUUUUACGGCAUCCAGCGGCUUGAGACUAUGAGCGCCAAUUUGCUCGUCCGAAUGUAUGGCAAAUGCGGUAGGCCAAAUGAUGCCAAGUGAGUGUUUGACGACAUCGACGCCAAGACGUUUUCUCGUGGUGACUGCAUAUGCCCAAAACGUGUAUGCCCGAUCGGGAUACUGUUGCAUGGAAUACAAUUCUUAGAGCGUACGCACAGCAUGGCCAUGUAGACGAGGCAAAAGAUUCUCUUUUUUUUAUUCCAAAUCCCAACUUUUGUCGUGGACAACAAUGCUUACAGCAUAUGCCCAAAGCGGGUUUAUGUCUAGCGCGAAGCGUAUGUUUGAUUCUAUGUCACCUCGCAAUGCAAUUGCAUGGAAAUGAAUGCUUGCUGGAUAUGCAAGACUCGGAGGUAUCUUAGCCUCUUCAGGAUUCUUUCGAAAGGUGCCCCAGCAUGACACUAUAUCAGCUACUGCAAUGGUUCCGGCAUUUGCUGCGAGGGGCAAUGACAGAGAGGCGUGUGCCUUGUUCGAGAAUAUGCCGGAGAGGAACGUCUUCUCAUGGACGGCAUUGCUCCAGGGAUAUGCUGAGAAUCGUCUUCUAGACAAGGCAAAGAGCUACUUUGACAAGAUGCCAGCAUGGAAUCUUGUGUUGUGGACUAUGCUCGUUGUUUCAUAUGCUCAAUGCGAGCGGCUUGAGAUUGCACAAGACUUGUUUGUUGAGAUGCCCGAGUAGAGCAUAGUGACUUGGAAUGCCUUGUUGGCAGUGAUCGGGCAUGCCAAGCCUUUGGAGGAGGCAAAGCUUUUCCUUGUCACUAUGUCCGCAUGGAACUUGGUGACCAAAAACACAAUUUCUCAGAUCAAGGAAGUCAAACAAAGUGAAACCACUAGUUGACUUGGCUAAUGCUUCUGUCAGGCUUGCUGGAAGAGGAGGCGUCAUCGUUGGUGGAUCGAACCACAGCCAUGCAACGCGGGAUACACAAGACUCUAUUGCAGAAGGGAAAGACCAUGGAAAUGAAGAGCAAGAACAACUACAACUUCGAUGUGGUACCAGGAUCUCUUCCUGCGGUCUAAGAACAUUGAGUUGUUUCUGGAGAACGAGCUUACAAAAAAGUUAGUAACUUUUUUCUAUAAACUUCCAUUCCAAUCCAACAAGUAUCCACUGCAUAAUCUGUUUGAGCACAGAAGAUUGGAGCUAUGGCGGAGUCACAAGGCGCAGCCAAACUGAUGUUGAAUCCAAGGGAGAAACUCACUGGAGCACUUGUGAUUGGCAUCGCUUUUGCAACUUUCGUGGCAACACUUGUGGUCACUGCCAUCUUCGCGGUUCCAAAGAUGAUCAAGCCACCUCCAGGGGAUUACUACCCGGAUAUCGUCAAGGAGGACAAGUGCUCUACUUGCUGGGAAGCCACCGUCUUUGCCACAAGCUCCGAUCCAUUCUACCAGUGGGUCUGUGAUUCCUCACUCCCGGAUACUCUUAACGCCUCGCUGAGGGGAACGCUUGCAUGCCAGAGGGCCAGCAUCUGGCGUGUUUCAGGCAAUAUCACCUCUGCAAAUGAGAGCUCCUUGUAUAGCUCGCCAGAUCCCCACAUUCUUGGAGGAGAGCUUGUCAAGAGAAGCAGGACUCUGGUGUGGAAGAUGACAGUCUACUGGGGGAUGAGUGUAAGAGCUUGUUUUGACUUGCUAAAUCCCAUGGAGGAUUCAUGUCUCUACACAACGCCGAUCGUCCAGACCGCUCUUGGAUCAUAUGCAGCGCUCUUGGUUGGCAUUCCGUAUCGGAAGGCUUCACAGAACCCAUAUGCCGUGGAGAGCAGCGCUUUGUAUCUGGACAAUAGUGCGGUGUAUUUGACGAACUUUGUGAGCAACGCUAGAACCGGUGCUGGAUUGAAGCUCAAAAGCUCUGGCAAAGGAAUCAAGAACUACGUCUACGAAGGCCAGGUUUGCAACAGGGCCUCCCCGAUCCUCAUCACUCCGGACGUGGUUUCCUACAUGGGUUUUCCAAGCUUACAGUGCGCUUGCGAUGGUAUCCUUUGCCUUGUGGGUCUGAACAUCACUGGCACAGCUUCGAAUGAGGAUAAGAUUCUUCCUCUGAAACUAAAUGCCUCCGGUUGUGGCCAGGGCAUGUCGUUUUGGGAUUGCGAUAGAUAUCCUUUGAAAGAGCAUAGAACCGAAUUCUUCUCUUACAGCCCGAGAUGGGAGAGAUCGAUACUACUCGAGGUGAAUUUCAGCACAAACUUCGAGGAGGCAAUCCGUGGUCCCAACCAGAUACUCAAAGACUUCGUUUCUUGCACCGAGGACACAAUCCAGAAGAAGGAUCCGAGCGAUGACACACUAGUGUCAGAUCUGCAGGAGUGCUUGAAAAGUCCAAUUGUUGCCGUGAGCCCUAGCCCUCGCAAAAGAAUCGUAAAUGGGGAAUUGCUGAAAGAUCUCAUGGACACCUUCAAUAACAAGGUUCCAAACGACAAGGACGACAACUUCUUGUGUGGCAUGGACGAAGGCCAGUCAAAGCUGGCGGACAAGUUGUGCACGGUAAGCUUGGACGAUCUAAACAUGCAAGUUCUGGAGAAGCGCUUGAGGGAGUCUUUAACGGACGUGCAAAGGUUCAUGAAGGAGGAAUGGGAGAGCACUUGGUCGCAGAGAUCAGACGUAACUGUUGGGAUUGUCACAGCGGUGGUGACCAUCCUUGUGACCAUCUGGGGGAUGUUCAACAAGGAUUUGCAAAAGGUGGAGGCGUUGAUCUUGAAGCGCGCAGGCAAAUUCACCAGUGUUGUGAAAGUGACAAUAGGACUUCCACUGUUUAAGACGGGAAUUCGGGGUUUUCUGCUCUUGGGUGUAACAUGUUUAACGUAUUUGUCAGCUUGAAUGCUGUGCGAAGUGAGCCCCGGCUUGCCACCUCGAAAACACUACUUCAGCAGCAGCAGGGGACCUUGUUCUUCUUGACUACAACUUCAACAGUUCAAGUCACUCCAUCUUGGAUUAUCUUCUUUGCAGCAUGCUCGUUUGCAA